CUCGGUCCCCUCGGCUCCGGGGGCGCCCGGCUGGGCCCAGCUCCGCGGGCGCGCCCCCGUCACCCCCUCCCAGGCCAGUUCAGGGCAGCGCCAAGGGGCCGCGGGCUCAGGCUGAGGCCUCCUCCUGCCUAGGCGUCUGGCGUCCGUUUGUCUGUCCGAGGCCUCAGCGCAGGUAAAGCGCGGGGCUGGGGGGCGCAGAGCUCCAUUGGGCUGGGAACCAGCGCGUCUCGUGCCCUUGGGGGACCCGCCUGCCCGAGCCGCCUGCUAAGCCUCCCGCUCCCCUCCACGCUGGAGCGCGCGGAGCCCGGUCUGCUCGGAACUCCACUCUGCGGGAGCGGAGGCCGGCGCCAGCCCGGGAAGCCGCGCAGGGGGCGGGAGGCCGAGCGCGAGGCCCUUGGCGCCGGGCCUCCGCGGCCAGGCCGGGCAGGUGAGCAGUCUCCGUGCCUCCCGGUUGGCGUUCCCCUCAACGCGUGCGGUCCCGCCGGGGCCCACUGUCUCUCCGUCCGUCUGUCUCUCAACUUUUCCCAUCCUUUAGCUUACGAUUCUUCAUCAACUCGUAAAAUGAGAUCGCCGCGGAGCUCGAGCCUAUUUGGCGUCUCCGGAGACUAGCAAGACCCUCUGAAAGACACCGCGUCCCCAGGGAUAAUCCCCCGUGUCCGGCAAAGCUGCCCCGCUCGAGCGCGAACCCUGGGACCCAGCGCGGGAGGCAGACCAGCAGCUGGCCGCUGGGCUGUGAACGCCAGGACCGAGCGGAAGCUUCCCGCCCGGCCGCGAUCGGUGCCGCGGCUCUCAGGGAAGUGGCUACGCGCGUCCCUCGGGAAAGCAGAGUAAUUUGCCUGUUUCUGGCAAAUCUGAAGAUUGGAAUGCCACACGGCCCAGCCAUUCCUUUUCCAGGCAUAUGAGAAGCCCUCACACAUGAGCAAGAAAGAGAUGUGGCCAAAGACAUUCAUGGAGCCCUGUUUGUUAAAACAGAGAAAAAGAAAUUAAGAAAUACCCAGCCUGGGCAACAUAGGGAGACCCUGUCUCUACUAAAAAUAAAAAUUUAUACUUGGGAGGCUAAGGCAGGAGGAUCACUUGAGCUCAGAAGAUCGAAGCUUGCAAUCAGCUGUGAUCGUGUCACUGCAUGCCAGCCUGGGUGACAGAGAGUGAGACCCUGUAUCAAUAAAGAAAGAAAGAAAGAAAAGAAACAGAAAUAAACUUAGGACACAGCAGACGGCCCAUCCUGAGGGUACCACAUAGCAGAUGCUGGGACCUUUUUUCAGGUGGACGCCACAUGACCUUUCCUUUGCAGGCAUCCAUGCUGAUGUUCACAAGGCACACAGCAUUUCAGCUGAAGAAAGAACUGGCAGGAUUUUCAUCACGAAAGGGCACUGUCUAUCGUUUAUGAAAAUGAAGCAUAUGAAGUAAAAGUUUGGAAACAGAUGGAAUUAAAUCUUCUGACAGAUUUUAAAAUAAGAUCUAAAAAAGAGCAAGACAUGCUCUUGGAUGGGGAAACUUAAUAUCAGAAAAAUGUCAAUUUUCCCAUUUUUUCCAUAUAAAUUUAAUGUAAUU
rnacentral:lncRNA from 1 species